GCCUACAUGAAGCUGGAAUUGCUAGUAAUCGCGAAUCAGAAUGUCGCGGUGAAUACGUUCCCGGGCCUUGUACACACCGCCCGUCACACCAUGAGAGUCGAUAACACCCGAAGCCUGUGAGCUAACCGCAAGGAGGCAGCAGUCGAAGGUGGGGUUGAUGAUUGGGGUGAAGUCGUAACAAGGUAUC
rnacentral:rRNA from 1 species